AAGAGAAAUAUCGUCUAAAGAAAGGAAACACACUCAUGCGGGUAAAGCCAGGUGCAAAACAAUAUCACUUCCGCCUGUUAACGAUCCGUCUUUCUCCAUGUGCCUGAACGGAUAAAAAACAAGUGGAGCCCCCCAUAAGUACAUGUUUCUAACCCAUCACAACUAGGUGAGCCUUGCCAUGUCCGACCAAACAGAUCAACCGUGUCCGACCUCGUUGUUCGUCUCCGAGGCAAAUGUUUUUUCUAUGGCCUGGACCUCUUCGACAAUGGGUAACGACGAAAUCAUCCGUUCCUACAGCAACGGAACAUCUGUCAUGAAAUACUUGGACGACAAUUGCGCCACGGGAGCAGAGACUGAAAAGAGAAACAAUACGAAAUCCGGUUUCCGUCACAUUCCACACAUUCCUCAUAGUGUUCGUCCAGCGUUCCAGGUAGCGCGGAGAAAUGCACGAGAGAGACGUCGCGUUCAGUCGGUCAACAUUGCCUUUUCCAAACUUCACCAAGUCGUCCCAGCGGAAUUUGGAGAACACGAAGGAAACACGACAGAUAAAACCAAAAUUUGCGAUGAUGCAAGAGCGCGGCGUACCAGUAAGGUCUCAAUUUUGAGACGAGCAAUAGAUUACAUCAAACUACUUGAAGAAGUUUUGCUGAUUCAAAACCAAGCUGCCGUCAUAUCCUAUGUCGCCUAAAGCCAACAAUGGAAUCUAACGAAUUAAAAAGCUUAACUUGCCCAUUUCAGAAAAAUCAAGACGAACAUGUUGAAAGAACGACGCGUGCCCGAAGAUCUUGAAUGGGUUUAGGUUCUGUUCGUUAUCAUACUAUCUUAGACUCAACGGUGGGGCUCAUAGAUGGUCGCUGUGUUAUCAACAAAACCGAACAAUGUUAUCAACACCAUGAAGUUAACUCGCAUUCAGCCUGCGGAUCUUCAACGACAUAGCUCUGUCAGCAAACAAAAAUUCAAGGUUGUACUUAUCGCUCACACACAUACGCACAUCCCGCCCUAGUUUUGUUUUUGAAACUUAUCAGCAACUCUGGUUGCUCUAGAGAUCGCAUAAACGUACAGCGUCUUUUAUUGUGCAAUAAAUUGGUAAUUCUGGUGACUAUAA